CAAGCGUUGCUCGGAAUUAUUGGGCGUAAAGGGUAGGUAGGUGGUCUCAUUUGUCUGGGGUGAAAGCCUUGAGCUUAACUCAAGAAGUGCCCCAGAAACGGUGAGACUGGAGUCCUGGAGAGGGUCGUGGAAUUCCCGGUGUAGCGGUGAAAUGCGUAGAGAUCGGGAGGAACACCAGCGGCGAAGGCGGCGACCUGGACAGGCACUGACACUCAACUACGAAAGCGUGGGGAGCAAACAGG
rnacentral:rRNA from 1 species